CCUACGGGUGGCAGCAGUGAGGAAUAUUGGUCAAUGGGCGCAGGCCUGAACCAGCCAAGUCGCGUGAGGGAAGACUGCCCUAUGGGUUGUAAACCUCUUUUAUAAGGGAAGAAUAAUGACUACGUGUAGUCAGAUGCCCGUACCUUAUGAAUAAGCAUCGGCUAACUCCGUGCCAGCAGCCGCGGUAAUACGGAGGAUGCGAGCGUUAUCCGGAUUUAUUGGGUUUAAAGGGUGCGUAGGCGGUAUUUUAAGUUAGCGGUAAAAAUUCGGGGCUCAACCCCGUCCGGCCGUUGAAACUGGGGGCCUUGAGUGGGCGAGAAGAAGGCGGAAUGCGUGGUGUAGCGGUGAAAUGCAUAGAUAUCACGCAGAACCCCGAUUGCGAAGGCAGCCUUCCGGCGCCCUACUGACGCUGAGGCACGAAAGUGCGGGGAUCGAACAGGAUUAGAUACCCCAGUAGUC
rnacentral:rRNA from 1 species